UUUUUAUCUUAUUUUACUCUUGUAGGACACAAGUAGCAUGAGUGCGGUACCGCAUGAUGCAGGCUCUUCUAUUACAAUUGGAGACAAGGGAAAGGUUGUGUUUGAAAAUCUUGAUGACAUACCUCCUCUAGCGAAGAUAUAUGUCAAGACUCCUCCAAAGAUGAAGAGGAAAUGUGGAGAUCAGAUCCUUCAAAGAGGAGCACUGCGGUGAAGAGGAUUGAUUUUAAUGACCCAUCAGUAGUUUAGGAUGUUAUAGAUCAUUUUGGG